CAGCCGCCGCGGUAAUACAGAGGGUGCAAGAGUUAAUCGGAAUUACUGGGCGUAAAGCGUGCGCAGGCGGUUAUAUAAGACAGAUGUGAAAUCCCCGGGCUCAACCUGGGAACUGCAUUUGUGACUGUAUAGCUAGAGUACGGCAGAGGGGGAUGGAAUUCCGCGUGUAGCAGUGAAAUGCGUAGAUAUGCGGAGGAACACCGAUGGCGAAGGCAAUCCCCUGGGCCUGUACUGACGCUCAUGCACGAAAGCGUGGGGAGCAAACAGGAUUAGAUACCCGAGUAGUCCCUGUCUCUUAUAA
rnacentral:rRNA from 1 species